rnacentral:rRNA from 1 species
UACGAAGGGGGCUAGCGUUGCUCGGAAUUACUGGGCGUAAAGCGCACGUAGGCGGCUUUCUAAGUCGGGGUGAAAUCCUGGAGCUCAACUCCAGAACUGCCUUCGAUACUGGAGAGCUUGAGUCCGGGAGAGGUGAGUGGAACUGCGAGUGUAGAGGUGAAAUUCGUAGAUAUUCGCAAAGAACACCAGUGGCGAAGGCGGCUCACUGGCCCGGUACUGACGCUGAGGUGCGAAAGCGUGGGGAGCAACAGG